rnacentral:lncRNA from 1 species
CAUUUAAGAAAUAACCUUCUAAUGAGGCUCAUAUUUGUUACAUUGAAGCUAGGGCAAGGGAUUGGAAACACCACCGUGGCUGCAAACACUGGUUGGAAAAUCAUUUACCAUCCAGGUUGCCCUGCCACAAUACGAGUCCAAUUGUUCUCUUCCCUAAUUGAUUUGCUCAGAGACAGAAAAAAAUAAUAUCAUCACAGCCUCAGAUUUUUACUAAAACUGUAAUUAUUAUUAUCACUACUAUUGAUUCUCUUUAUGGGAGAGAGGACGUGGAGACAGAGUAGAGUGGUCGUUUGGACAUAAUUUCCUGCAGAAGGGCAUUUUUUGGACAAAAUGAAAUCACAGGAAUUGUAGGAGGUAUUAGUUUUCUGCGUUGUGUAAAAAUAGAACUAUUUAAAGGAUCGAUAUUUCAAUACACUUAUUUACAACCCUUUAAAGAUAAUCCCAUCUGUUUUACCUCAUUUCUUUAAUCCACCCUAGAAGUAGUACUUAUCAUCCCAGCAUGUUCAUGCAGACAAUGGGAUAGGCUCAGAUUCGCCUUUUCUCAGACAAACCCCCAAAAGCUGUGGAAAAAGACUGCCAUGGCUGCAAGCAUCAGUUAGUCGUGUGAAACAGGAAAACACACACACAAAAAAUGGAUAAUUCUCCAAUAUCUCGGAGACCCAUCUGAGCUGCCAUGCCAAGAUUACAUUUUUUUCCCAGCUCAACAGAUUUAUAAGUCUGAUUCAUCCUCCACAGAAGAAAAAAAUCUUCAUAGCCUCAUUGGAUCACAUAAAUUGAAAGGGAGGGAGUAAUACGUAUUUUUACCAAAAGGGUGGUAUUAAAAAAGGACAUUUCAGUGAUCAUUGGCCGCGGACAAUUACAGAGAGGGGCAAAACCACAAACUUCCUACAGACUUCUGCCUUGACCACAGCCUCAUACUAACUAAUGAGUUUUUUGCUAUUUUCCUGUUAAUCCAAGGGCAGCCCGAAACAACCCACGUUUGCGGGGUUAGGGGAAGGGCUACACUAGAUGGCUGUGAUGUAGACAAAUACCCUAAUGCAAGUAGCUGUGAAAACUUUCACAACUCAGAAGACUCAUCUUUCCUAUUAACCUGUUAGUCCAAGUCAUAGAAAAGAUUAUCUACAUUUUCUUUUCUUGCAAAUGGGGCUCAGACAUGUUGUGAUAAGGCUAAACAGAAAUGAGGUUAGCCUAGAUACAAGAAACAUCAUCACACUGCCUCUUUAUGUCACUUCCAUCAGCAACAUCAGCGCGCCCACACACAAAAAGUAAAUACAGAUUUCACUCGGAAUAUUUUUUUACUUUUUCCGGAAUUUUACUAUUCUUAUGUCCAAACGCUGUCAGCUUCUGCCAUGAACAAAGGCUGUUGGUUUAUUUUGAAAAUGGAGGAAAAUCAAUGGCGGAGGGGCAACCACCCCUCUAAUGAAAAUGCCAAUGCUGUCUGUUUUGCAGCAUUUCUUUCUAGGCUAAUCAUUUAGCAUUUUUAGGGGAAAUUCUCAGUGGGUUUUUCACCUGCGAAUUUCAAGAAAAAAGCUCAUAAGUCUUCGACAACAACAAUCCAGUAUAAUCCACUUAGUGGGGGUUGGGAAGGGGUUUGGGAAGGGUAGUGUGUACGCAAACCUUACCACUACUCUUAGGCUAUUUCCAAAUAUCGAACUCACGACCUCUCGGUUGGAAGAGGAUUACUUUGUCUUCUUCAUAGAUCUGUAAUAUUUGAAAAUAAGGAAGAGAUUAUAGACACCCCCAUGGUUGCAAAUACCAGCUGCAAGACGUCACCGUCCGGGUUGCCCCGCCAAGAUACGGGUCCGAUCGUUCUCUUGCCCUAAUCGAUUUGGUCAGAGACAAAAGAAAAAUAUCAUCACCGCCUCCGAUUUUUGGUACAAUUAUUAUUAUUAUUAUUACUAUUAUUGAUUCUCUUUUGAGUGAGGAUUUGGAGAUGAUUAGCAGAGAGAACAGUAACAACCAAUAGAAAUACUUAAGGCGUCGUUUGGUUAUAGUAUGCUGCAGAAGGGCAUUUUUGGUACAAAUGAAAUCACAGGAAUUGUAGAGAGGAGCAGCUGCCCUUGCGCUUCACUCUACUCUACAACCCUCAUUCUUUGUCUCUAAGCUCUUAGUUUUAUGCUUUGUGUCAAAGAGAACCAUUUAAAGCAUCGAUAAUUCUUGUGUUGCCGUCUGGUGUAUGCUUAUCUACAACUUGGUUCCAUGCCAUAUUAGGCUUAUCUGCAGAUAAAGUUAAAAGGGUAUUUUGGGUACACUGUUACCACAUUAUAUGGUCAAUUGGAUUUUGGUUUUGUUAAAUCAUGAAUGGGAAUAUUUUGGUUUUGCAUGUACUUUGGACAUAAAGAAUUUUUCACUUUUUCGAAAAAAU